CUCUUAUCACGAGAGCCCACCUAAUCACAGGUCCAUCCUAUGCGCACAUGUUUUUUCUGAACUUGGGACCCAUCGGACAUGAGAGCGGAGUCCAAAUUGAUUUUGAGCGCUUCAGGCUUGAGCGGCGGACGCGAGAAGCGAUUCCAUUUCGCUCCUCUCUCUCCCCAAUCACGUUUCCCCAACCAUUCCUGCCCCAGUGAGAUUGGGGGCGAGGGAGGCGAUGCCCGGACAGCGGAGGUGACGCGUCGCUCCUCGCCGAGCGGAGUCCACACACCGUUCCUCGCCGACGGUCUUCGACGCGCAGCACCACGCAGAAGGGAGGUGAGGCGGAGCCGGCGUGCCGUACCACGAUGAGGCGACCUUACGGCCUACGCGCGGCGAGCGGAUCCGACUUGUUUCGUCGUGCCGUACCGCGCCAAGGGAGGUGAUGUGCGGCAAGCGCGGAGUCGACGCGCCGCACCGCGCCAAGACAAGGCGACGCGCGGUGGUGGUGGAUCUCUGCUAUUCCACACCAGAUCUAGGGGAGUUUCCGCCUCCGGUCAGGUUACACAUGAAGGAGCGGCUUCGACCAGGCGCCGGGGUGAUUUCUGCAACAUCAUUCCACUGGUUGAAAUCGGUCAACCUACUUCAUGCUAGUCUAUGUAUGACAUGUUCAUCUCCUUUUCAUUAUCCCAGAUGUUGAUUUUGUUCUGCCUACUUUCCUCUAGGGUUUCCUGCUUAAUGUAGUCUACAAUUUUUUGCUAACGCUCAUCUAGAUUGGAUGAUGAAAUCAAAUCUUAUAUUACGUUAUGUUUAGGAGUAACUGGCCAUAUUAACUAUGUUUUAUUUGUUCAGCAUCUAACACUCAACUCUGGCAAAAUCAUGAGUGGUCAAUGUUUGCAGUCCUAUUUUUACAAUUAUUUCCUUGGUAUUUGGGUUUAGUAUAUGGAUCUGUUUUGUUCGGUGUGAAUCAGUUUGAAGUUACCAAAUGGUCUACAUAUAUAGAGUUGUUUAUUACUAAUCAAACUGGAUUGGCUUUGUUCUACACAUUGACCUAUAAUUUUUCAAAUUUGUAGUUUUCCAAUUAUGGUAUACUAAGUUAACCUUCUUGUCAUUGAUCACUUAUUUUUUCCCAAUUGUUUGAACUUUAUGCUUUGUUAGGUGCAAUUAGCAAGCAGACAAGUAAUUUAGAUACCUUUUCUUAUUCAGAACUAUGUUUCUCUGAAUUUUCUCCAGUGCCAAACAUUACCCAUGGAUAAUGAUAUGAUAUGUUUUAUAUGUGCGUGGACUUUUUAUACCAUUUUAACAGAGAACUUUUGAUGUUAGCCGUAUAUAGAUUUAUCUGUAUUUUCAAAAGUUAAUCUGUCACUAAUAGUAUUUGUGAUCUACAAUAUUAAUUUCUUUGCUAAAAUGUAAAUUGUCAGUAUUUACAUGAACAAGGAAGUAUCUUUCAAUAUUCACAUGCAAAAGAAAAGUAAUUUGUAAAUGAUCUGAACAUUAUAGGAAGUAACUUCUCAAUUCAAUCUAGAGGGGAGUUAUUUUUGUGGCUAUUCAAAUGACAUGAUAACUAACCUUUCACUAAUGCUUCCUUCUAUUAAUUUUUUUUGGAAAACAUGAAAAACAUAAAUUCCAGUCACUCACCAAUCUUCUCGUACUGCAGCCAGCCAGCCACAUCUUUCCAAAUGAUAUUGUAUAUUUUUUUUGUAAAGUAUGUGCUUGCUCAUGACUAUUUUUUGUAGGUGCAGCUAGUGCAGUUCCGUUCAAAAGUCUUUAUUUAGCUCCUCUUUAAUUUUGGUGCAAAUCGUGGAAGAGUUCUUGACACUUAGUGGUUGGCGCAUAUUCAUUAGGUCUUCGCAAUGUGUGAGUGGACAACUUGAACGGACUGAAACAAUAAGCAAUUUCAGCUCAUGCUAGAAAUUUUAGUAUCUUUAAAAAGCUAACAACAUGUGCAUAGCUUACUGUGAUGCUCUAGUUAUUUUACCCUACAUCUGCAUCAAAAUAGUUGAAUUUGUAAGUACCUUUUUAUGAUGGUUUUAAAAGUAUCAGUACAUGGUUAUGCUUGCUCCCCGAGCUGAUGCUUUUUCUA